CCGCACGAGAGGGAGCCUGAGAAACGGCUACCACAUCCAAGGAAGGCAGCAGGCGCGCAAAUUACCCACUCUCAGAAUGAGGAGGUAGUGACGAAAAAUAACGAGACCGUUCUCUUUGAGGCCGGUUAUCGGAAUGGGUACAAUUUAAACCUGUUAACGAGGAUCUAUGAGAGGGCAAGUCUGGUGCCAGCAGCCGCGGUAAUUCCAGCUCUCAAAGUGUAUAUCGUCAUUGCUGCGGUUAAAAAGCUCGUAGUUGGAUCUGCGUCUCAGGACCUGGUCCAUCCAUUGGAUGAGAACUAGGCUCCUAGGCUAAUAUUGCCAGUUUUCCCAUACGUUACCUUAAUUGGUUGCAUAUGGUGGCUAGCAAGUUUACCUUGAAAAAAUUAGAGUGCUCAAUGCGGGCUAAUGCCUGAAUACUCGUGCAUGGAAUAAUGAAAUAGGAUCUCGGUUCUAUUUUGUUGGUUUUCUGAUCUGAGAUAAUGGUUAAGAGGGACGGACGGGGGCAUUCGUAUCGCUGCGUGAGAGGUGAAAUUCUUGGACCGUAGCGAGACGUACGACUGCGAAAGCAUUUGCCAAGAAUGUCUUCAUUAAUCAAGAACGAAAGUCAGAGGUUCGAAGGCGAUCAGAUACCGCCCUAGUUCUGACCGUAAACGAUACCAACUAGCGUUCCGUCGGCGGUAAAUACGCCUUGACGGGCAGCUUCCCGGAAACGAAAGUUUUUCGGUUCCGGGGGAAGUAUGGUUGCAAAGCUGAAACUUAAAGAAAUUGACGGAAGGGCACCACCAGGAGUGGAGCCUGCGGCUUAAUUUGACUCAACACGGGAAAACUCACCUGGGCCCGGGACACCGUGAGGAUUGACAGAUUGAGAGCUCUUUCAUGAUUCNGNGGGUUGGUGGGUGCAUGGCCCGUUCUUANNUGGGUGGAAGUGGAUUUGUCUGGGUUUAUUCCNNAUAACCGAGCCGAAACUCCUANCCCUACCUAAAAUANGUUAACCGGGAAAAUUUUUAUCGUCCCANAACAACNUUCUUAAAAGGGAACAAGNCGGGGGGUUUUACCCCNCCAUGGAAAUUUGANCCAAAUAAACNGGGGNCUNGGGAAUGCCCCCUUAAAAUGUCCNAGGGGCUUGGCCCNCNCCCGCCUACCNC
rnacentral:rRNA from 1 species